UAGUCCACGCCGUAAACGAUGAGAACUAGAUGUUGGGAGGGUUGCCUCUCGGUGUCGCAGCUAACGCGUUAAGUUCUCCGCCUGGGGAGUACGCCGGCAACGGUAAAACUCAAAGGAAUUGACGGGGACCCGCACAAGCGGUGGAGCAUGUGGUUUAAUUCGAUGCAACGCGAAGAACCUUACCUGCCCUUGACAUACUCGGAACUUUCCAGAGAUGGAUUGGUGCCUUCGGGAACCGAGAUACAGGUGCUGCAUGGCUGUCGUCAGCUCGUGUCGUGAGGUGUUGGGUUAAGUCCUAUAACGAGCGCAACCCCUAUGUUUAUUUGCCAGCACGUAAUGGUGGGAACUAUAAACAGACUGCCUGCGAAAGCAGUGAGGAAGGAGGGGACGAGGGUCAAGUCAUCAUGGGCUCUUACGUCUAGGGGCUACACACGUGCUACAAUAGCGAUGACAGAGAGCUGCAACCUCGCGAGGGGGGAGCUAAUCUCCAAAAAUCGU
rnacentral:rRNA from 1 species